GAUGAACGCUGGCUACAGGCUUAACACAUGCAAGUCGAGGGGAAACGACGGGGAAGCUUGCUUCCCCGGGCGUCGACCGGCGCACGGGUGAGUAACGCGUAUCCAACCUGCCUCUGACUGAGGGAUAACCCGUCGAAAGUCGGCCUAAUACCUCAUGGUAUCGUCUGCGGGCAUCCAACGACGAUUAAAGAUUUCAUCAGUCAGGGAUGGGGAUGCGUCUGAUUAGCUUGUUGGCGGGGUAACGGCCCACCAAGGCUACGAUCAGUAGGGGUUCUGAGAGGAAGGUCCCCCACAUUGGAACUGAGACACGGUCCAAACUCCUACGGGAGGCAGCAGUGAGGAAUAUUGGUCAAUGGGCGAGAGCCUGAACCAGCCAAGUAGCGUGCAGGAAGACGGCCCUAUGGGUUGUAAACUGCUUUUAUGCGGGGAUAAAGUGAGGGACGUGUCCCUCAUUGCAGGUACCGCAUGAAUAAGGACCGGCUAAUUCCGUG
rnacentral:rRNA from 1 species